rnacentral:rRNA from 1 species
GUAAACGGCGGCCGUAACUAUAACGGUCCUAAGGUAGCGAAAUUCCUUGUCGGGUAAGUUCCGACCUGCACGAAUGGUGUAACCAUGGCCAUGCUGUCUCCACCCGAGACUCAGUGAAAUCGAAUUCGCCGUGAAGAUGCGGUGUACCCGCGGCUAGACGGAAAGACCCCGUGAACCUUUACUACAGCUUGGCACUGAACAUUGAACCUACAUGUGUAGGAUAGGUGGGAGGCUUUGAAGGCGUGACGCCAGUUGCGCUGGAGCCGUCCUUGAAAUACCACCCUUGUAUGUUUGAUGUUCUAACGCAGGGCCCUGAAUCGGGCUCGCGGACAGUGCCUGGUGGGUAGUUUGACUGGGGCGGUCUCCUCCCAAAGAGUAACGGAGGAGCACGAAGGUUGGCUAAUCCUGGUCGGACAUCAGGAGGUUAGUGCAAUGGCAUAAGCCAGCUUAACUGCGAGACGGACAGGUCGAGCAGGUACGAAAGUAGGUCAUAGUGAUCCGGUGGUUCUGAAUGGAAGGGCCAUCGCUCAACGGAUAAAAGGUACUCCGGGGAUAACAGGCUGAUACCGCCCAAGAGUUCAUAUCGACGGCGGUGUUUGGCACCUCGAUGUCGGCUCAUCACAUCCUGGGGCUGAAGUCGGUCCCAAGGGUAUGGCUGUUCGCCAUUUAAAGUGGUACGCGAGCUGGGUUCAGAACGUCGUGAGACAGUUCGGUCCCUAUCUGCCGUGGGCGUUGGAUGAUUGAAGGGAGUUGCUCCUAGUACGAGAGGACCGGAGUGAACGAACCUCUGGUGUUCGGGUUGUCACGCCAGUGGCACUGCCCGGUAGCUAAGUUCGGAAUCGAUAACCGCUGAAAGCAUCUAAGCGGGAAGCGAGCCCUGAGAUGAGUCAUCCCUGACCCCUUGAGGGUCCUAAAGGGCCGUUGGAGACCACAACGUUGAUAGGUGGGGUGUGUAAGCGCGGCGACGUGUUGAGCUAACCCAUACUAAUUACCCGUGAGGCUUAACC